UGCCAGCAGCCGCGGUAAUACGUAGGUGGCAAGCGUUAUCCGGAAUUAUUGGGCGUAAAGCGCACGUAGGCGGAUUGUUAAGUCGGGGGUGAAAUCCUGGAGCUCAACUUCAGAAUUGCCUUCGAUACUGGCUUUCUAGAGGCUGGAAGAGGUUAGUGGAAUUCCCAGUGUAGAGGUGAAAUUCGUAGAUAUUGGGAAGAACACCAGUGGCGAAGGCGGCUAACUGGUCCAGAUCUGACGCUGAGGUGCGAAAGCGUGGGGAGCAAACAGGAUUAGAUA
rnacentral:rRNA from 1 species